UACAAAACACAAGUCUUCGGAGUCUGGAACAUGCUAUUUUUGUUACAGUAACAGUUUUUGUUGCCAAGCCAUUUGCUUUUGUCAACAGAUUUGGCACACUAAUUCCUCGGGGCUCAUGCAAGCGACUCGACUAUGUACCUCAACAAUGUCACCAUGACCAAGCACGUGGUUUACAUGGGAGAGAGCGAGAUAGAGAGAGAGGGAGAGAAAAGAGAGUUCCAAGGACUUAUUGCAACUGGUGACGGAAGACUGGCAUCACCAAAAAGGACCCGCAGGCACCAGCUGCCAAUCCGCUAUAUGCGGAACGUCACAUGACCAAACCCAGAAAACAGGCUGCGCAUAUACCGGAUGAGAGGGGCACUUCGCACUUCUCUUCACCGGUGCUGACCACGCCAGGCAGCAUCCGUCUUGGAUUGGCUCAAAACAAGCCCUUCCUUGGUUUCAUUUGAGUAACCAAGACACACAAGACAAAGCAGUAGCGCGGCGGGAGGAGGGCUAAGUAUGUCUUACUCUCUUCAUUGAAGAGCAAGAGCAAAAGAGCAGACCUCCUACUCGCCAUUAGUCGCCCAUGGACUCGGAUCACAAAUGCAAGUUACUGUAAGUGGGUUUUCCUAAUGGUCCACAUAUGCAUAACAAUGAGGCAGUACCACUCAUUUCUCACAGCCUACUAUUGAAAACUGAAAUGAAAUGUAACAAUGUAAGAUGACAUGUUUUAUAAAGCUGUAAUAAUAAGAAUGUAAUAAAAUGACAAUACUAAAAAAAGGUACAGUACUUUCAAUCUAUUUAUUUGUUUGUGUUGCAUUAAGAAAAACAACUUGGUAGGUAGAGGGAAAUAAAUUGUUUAAUUUUGGGAGUGCUGUGGAUACUUUUUUCUUUUAUUGUUCUGGGGCGGCGGCACGGUGGCCGACUGGUUAGAGCGUCUGCCUCACAGUUCUGAGGACCAGGGUUCAAUCCCUGGCCCCGCCUGUGUGGAGUUUGCAUGUUCUCCCCGUGCCUGCGUGGGUUUUCUCCGGGCACUCCGGUUUCCUCCCACAUCCCAAAAACAUGCAUGAAUUGGAGACUCUAAAUUGCCCGUAGGCAUGACUGUGAGUGCGAAUGGUUGUUGG